rnacentral:lncRNA from 1 species
CUGUCCAGAUUGGAUGACUUACUAUAGUGGUAAUGGUGCCAUGAUUUGAACAAAAUUCUGGCUGCCCCUCAACUGUUGUUUUUCUUCAACUUGCUGUGAUUGGACAGUAUGCUGACUUCCAGCCUGCUCUCUUCAGGCAAGUGGUGGUGCUGUCUCGUUAAACUCUUUGAAACCUGACUUGGAAAGCAAAAUCAAAAAUGC